UACGUAGGGAGCGAGCGUUGUCCGGAUUUACUGGGUGUAAAGGGCGUGUAGGCGGGAUUACAAGUCAGAUGUGAAAUUCCGGGGCUCAACCCCGGAACUGCAUUUGAAACUGUAGUUCUUGAGUACUGGAGAGGCAGGCGGAAUUCCUAGUGUAGCGGUGAAAUGCGCAGAUAUCAGGAGGAACACCUAUGGCGAAGGCAGCUCGCUGGGUCAAGAUUGACGCUCAUGCACGAAAGCGUGGGGAGCAAACAGG
rnacentral:rRNA from 1 species